rnacentral:rRNA from 1 species
UACGUAGGGUGCGAGCGUUAAUCGGAAUUACUGGGCGUAAAGCGUGCGCAGGCGGUCUGUUAAGACCGAUGUGAAAUCCCCGGGCUUAACCUGGGAACUGCAUUGGUGACUGGCAGGCUUUGAGUGUGGCAGAGGGAGGUAGAAUUCCACGUGUAGCAGUGAAAUGCGUAGAGAUGUGGAGGAAUACGAUGGCGAAGGCAGCCUCCUGGGCCAACACUGACGCUCAUGCACGAAAGCGUGGGGAGCAAA